rnacentral:rRNA from 1 species
UAGUACGCUUUGGAANCUGUUUAACUUGAGUGCAGAAGGGGAGAGUGGAAUUCCAUGUGUAGCGGUGAAAUGCGUAGAUAUAUGGAGGAACNCCGGUGGCGAAAGCGGCUCUCUGGUCUGUAACUGACGCUGAGGCUNGAAAGCGUGGGGAGCAAACAGGAUUAGAUACCNUGGUAGUCCACGCCGUAAACGAUGAGUGCUAGGUGUUGGGUCCUUUCCGGGACUCAGUGCCGCAGCUAACGCAUUAAGCACUCCGCCUGGGGAGUACGACCGCAAGGUUGAAACUCAAAGGAAUUGACGGGGGCCCGCACAAGCGGUGGAGCAUGUGGUUUAAUUCGAAGCAACGCGAAGAACCUUACCAGGUCUUGACAUCCCGGUGCCCGUCCUAGAGAUAGGAUUUUGCUUCGGCACACCGGUGACAGGUGGUGCAUGGUUGUCGUCAGCUCGUGUCGUGAGAUGUUGGGUUAAGUCCCGCAACGAGCGCAACCCUUAUUGUUAGUUGCCAUCAUUUAGUUGGGCACUCUAGCGAGACUGCCGGUAAUAAACCGGAGGAAGGUGGGGAUGACGUCAAAUCAUCAUGCCCCUUAUGACCUGGGCUACACACGUGCUACAAUGGCUGGUACAACGAGUCGCAAGUCGGUGACGGCAAGCUAAUCUCUUAAAGCCAGUCUCAAUUCGGAUUGUAGGCUGCAACUCGCCUACAUGAAGUCGGAAUCGCUAGUAAUCGCGGAUCAGCACGCCGCGGUGAAUACGUUCCCGGGCCUUGUACACACCGCCCGUCAC